CCAAAUUAAGUUUAUUUGAACAUCUCUUUGUUAAUGAGAAGGUUAAAUUUUUGG
rnacentral:tRNA from 1 species